CCUACGGGUGGCAGCAGUGAGGAAUCUUGGUCAAUGGGCUUACGCCUGAACCAGCCAAGUCGCGUGAGGGAAGACUGCCCUAUGGGUUGUAAACCUCUUUUGUCAGGGAGCAACGCCGGCUACGUGUAGCCGGACUGAGAGUACCUGACGAACACGCAUCGGCUAACUCCGUGCCAGCAGCCGCGGUAAUACGGAAGAUGCGAGCGUUAUCCGGAGUUAUUGGGUUUAAAGGGUGCGUAGGCGGAAUGCCAAGUCAGCGGUAAAAUCGCGGGGCUCAACCUCGCUCCGCAGUUGAGACUGGCGGUCUUGAGUGGGCGAGAGGUAUGCGGAAGGCGUGGUGUAGCGGUGAAAUGCAUAGAUAGCACGCAGAACUCCGAUUGCGAAGGCAGCAUACCGGCGCCCAACUGACGCUGAAGCACGAAAGCGUGGGUAUCGAACAGGAUUAGAUACCCCGGUAGUC
rnacentral:rRNA from 1 species